rnacentral:tRNA from 1 species
AUCAAUCUGGUGAAAUUGGUAACCACGGGACACUUAAAAUGUUCUGCUUAAUGCUUAAAGGUUCAAGUCCUUUGAUUGAUA